rnacentral:rRNA from 1 species
GUGGGGAAUAUUGGACAAUGGGGGGAACCCUGAUCCAGCCAUGCCGCGUGUGUGAAGAAGGCCUUUUGGUUGUAAAGCACUUUAAGCGAGGAGGAGGCUACCGAGAUUAAUACUCUUGGAUAGUGGACGUUACUCGCAGAAUAAGCACCGGCUAACUCUGUGCCAGCAGCCGCGGUAAUACAGAGGGUGCAAGCGUUAAUCGGAUUUACUGGGCGUAAAGAGCGAGUAGGUGGCCAAUUAAGUCAAAUGUGAAAUCCCCGAGCUUAACUUGGGAAUUGCAUUCGAUACUGGUUGGCUAGAGUAUGGGAGAGGAUGGUAGAAUUCCAGGUGUAGCGGUGAAAUGCGUAGAGAUCUGGAGGAAUACCGAUGGCGAAGGCAGCCAUCUGGCCUAAUACUGACACUGAGGUGCGAAAGCAUGGGGAGCAAACAGGAUUAGAUACCCCGGUAGUCC